rnacentral:rRNA from 1 species
UACGUAGGGUGCAAGCGUUGUCCGGAAUUAUUGGGCGUAAAGAGCUCGUAGGCGGUCUGUCGCGUCGGCUGUGAAAACCCGGGGCUCAACUCCGGGCCUGCAGCCGAUACGGGCAGACUAGAGGUAUGCAGGGGGAGAACGGAAUUCCUGGUGUAGCGGUGAAAUGCGCAGAUAUCAGGAGGAACACCGGUGGCGAAGGCGGCCACCUGGACGGUACUGACGCUGAGACGAGAACUGGGGAGCAAACAGG